rnacentral:rRNA from 2 species
GGAAUAUUGGACAAUGGGGGCAACCCUGAUCCAGCCAUGCCGCGUGUGUGAAGAAGGCUUUCGGGUUGUAAAGCACUUUCAGUGAGGAGGAAAACCUUAUGGCUAAUACCCAUGAGGCUUGACGUUACUCACAGAAGAAGCACCGGCUAACUCCGUGCCAGCAGCCGCGGUAAUACGGAGGGUGCAAGCGUUAAUCGGAAUUACUGGGCGUAAAGCGCGCGUAGGUGGUUUGAUAAGCGAGAUGUGAAAGCCCCGGGCUUAACCUGGGAACGGCAUUUCGAACUGUCAGGCUAGAGUGUGGUAGAGGGUAGUGGAAUUUCCUGUGUAGCGGUGAAAUGCG